AUUGAACGCUGGCGGCAGGCCUAACACAUGCAAGUCGAGCGGAUGAAGGGAGCUUGCUCCUGGAUUCAGCGGCGGACGGGUGAGUAAUGCCUAGGAAUCUGCCUGGUAGUGGGGGAUAACGUCCGGAAACGGGCGCUAAUACCGCAUACGUCCUGCGGGAGAAAGUGGGGGAUCUUCGGACCUCACGCUAUCAGAUGAGCCUAGGUCGGAUUAGCUAGUUGGUGGGGUAAAGGCCUACCAAGGCGACGAUCCGUAACUGGUCUGAGAGGAUGAUCAGUCACACUGGAACUUAGACACGGUCCAGACUCCUACGGGAGGCAGCAGUGGGGAAUAUUGGACAAUGGGCGAAAGCCUGAUCCAGCCAUGCCGCGUGUGUGAAGAAGGUCUUCGGAUUGUAAAGCACUUUAAGUUGGGAGGAAGGGCAGUAAGUUAAUACCUUGCUGUUUUGACGUUACCAACAGAAUAAGCACCGGCUAACUUCGUG
rnacentral:rRNA from 1 species